rnacentral:ncRNA from 2 species
AUCUUAUCAAGAGUCAGGGAAGGAAACUGGUCCGCUAAACCCUGCAGCAACCACUUUUUGCUCGUAUAAAAAGAAAGGUGCUACUUCCAGCAGGAGUCUAUGCCUGAAAGAUGAGAA